AGUAUAUAGGAAUACAAUUGAUGUUGUAUAUUUUUCUUGUAUUCUGAGACCUUGCCAAACUUACUAAUUGCUUCUAGAAAUUUAUUUUGUAGAUUCCCUGAGAUUUUCUAUGUAAAAAAAUCAUGUGAUCUGCCAAUGGGUAAGUCUUAUAGUCUUAUUUCUUCCUUUCUUAUCUGAAUGCCUUCUUCCUUUUUUGAUUUUUUUUUUCCCUGUUAUUGCACUGGCUAGGACUUCCCACACGAUGUUGAAUAACAGUGGGCAGAGUGAAUCUGCUUUUCUUGUCUCUGACCUUUUGGAGAAAGUAUUCAGUCUUUCACCAUAAAUAUGUCAGCUGUAGCUCUUUUAUUGAUGUUCUUCGUCAAGUUGAGUAAGUUCUCUUCUAUUCUUAUUUUUUUUUUGAAAGUUUUAAAAAUCAUUUUCGGUAUGGAAUUUUGUCAAAUGUUUUUCUUGUAUCCAUUGAUAUGAUGAUGUGAUUUUUCUUCUUCUGCCUGUUAUUAUAAUAUACUGAUAGAUUUUCAAAUAGGGAACCAUUCUUGCAUCACUGUAAUAAACCCCACUUAGUUAUGUGUAUAGUUAUCUUUUAUGUAUUGUUGAAUCCUAUUUGUUAAUAUUUUGUUAAGGAUUUUUACAACUGUGGUAUAUGCAUGAGGGCUAUUGGUCUUACUUUGUAGUUUUCUGUUUUUGAACUAUCUUUGUCUGCUUUUAGUAUCAAGAUAAUGCUAAUGUCUUAAAAUGAUUUGGGAAGUAUUCUCUCUUCUUUAAUUUUCUGGAAGAUUUUUUUUGUUUUGUUUUAUUUAUUUAUUUAUUUAUUUUUUGGGAAUUGACGUUUAUUCUUCUUUAAACAUUUGGUAUAUUUCUCCAGUGAAACUAUCCAGGACAGGGAUUUGGAGCUGAGGGGAGGAGGAGUCUAAAGUGACAAAAUAAAUUUCCUUAAUAGUUAUAGGGCUUUCAAAAUUAUCUAUUUCAUAUUGGCGAAUUGUGGUAGUUUGUGUUUUUAAGAAAUUGGUCCAUUUCAUCUAAUUCAUCAAGUUUAUGUGUGUAAAAUUAUUUGUAGCAUUCCCUUAUUAUCCUUUUGAUUUACACAAGGUCUGUGGUGAUAUCACCUGUUUCAGAUAGUGGUAAUUUAUUUUUUCUCUCCUCUCUUCCUUUUCAGUCUUGCUUGUGUUUGUUUAGUUUUAUUGUCAUUUUCAAAUAAUCAAUUUUUUGUUUCAUUAACUUCGUUGUUUUUCUGUUUUCUACCACAUUGAUUUCCUUCCUUCGGCUUCCUUUGGAUUUAUUUUGCUCUUUUUUUUUUUUUCUAGGUUCUUGAGGUGGGAGCCUAGAUUAUUGAUUUGUAACUUCCUCUUUUCUAAUGUAUGCAUUUAGGGCUAUACACAUCCUUCUCAUUGAAUAUAAAGACACAGAUAUGUUAAAAGAAAAGGAUGAAUCAUGACUUCAGCUGUGUCCCCCACACAACUUGAUACAUUGUAUUUUUAUUUCAUCUAGUUCAGUCCAUUUUUUAAUUUCCCUUGAGACUUCUUCUUUGACCCAUUGAUUAUUCAGAAAUAUGUUGUUUACUUUCUAAGUAUUUGAAGAUUUUUCUGUUAUAUCUAUUAUGGGCUGAAGAUUUAUGUCCCCACAAAGAUUUGUAUGUUGAAAUCCUAACCCACCUGCAAAGUGAUGAUAUUCGCAGUUGAAGCCUUGGGGACGUGAUUAGGUCACAAGAGUUAAGCCCUUAUAAAUGUGAUUAGUACCUCACAAGAAGAGGAUGGGAGACCAGAGUUCCCUCCCUCUCCAACACAUGAGGACACAGAAAGAAGGCAAGCAAGGAAAAGGGAAUUUCACCAAAAAACGAAUUAGCCAGCACCUCAAUCUUAGACUUCAGCCUCCAGAACUGUUAGAAAUAAGUCUGUUGUUCAAAGCACCCAAUUUAUGUUAUUUUGCUACAGCAGUCCACAGCUGCUGAAGGCAGCUGUUAUUGCUCUGUUAUUGCUUUCUUGUUUGAUUCUAUCGUGGUCAGAGAACACACUCCAUACAAUUUGAAUCUUAAAAUUUGCUGAGGCUUUUUUUAUGGUCCAGGAUAUAGUCUUGUCUUGAUAUGUGUCCUGUAGGCACUUGAAAAUAAUAUAUGUUCUAUUUUUGUUGGGCAUAAUGUUCUAUAAAUGUUAACUAGAUCUUUUUUGUUGAUGGUGUUAUUGAGUCCUUCUAUAUUGUUGCUAAACUCCUGUCUAGUUCUUCUAUCGGUUUUGGAAAGGGGUAUUGAAGUAUCCAACCAUCAUUGUAGAAUUGUCUAUUUUUUCUUUCAGUUCUGUUAGAUUUUACCUCACACAUUUUGCAGUUCUGUUGUUUGAUGCAUAAACAUUUAGGAUUUCUAUGUCUUCAUGGUAAAUGAUAUUUUAUAAUUAUUUGGUGUCCCUCUGUGGUAAUUAUUUGGAAGGCCUACUUUAUCUGUUAUUAAUAUAGCUACUCUCACUUUUGUUUGAUUUGCAUGUGUCUUUUUCCAUCCAUUUACUUUCAAUCUGUCUAUAUCAUUAUAAGCAAUGUGAAUUUCUUGCAGACAGUAUAUAAUUAGGUCAUGCUUUUAAACCCACUCCACUAAUUUAUGCCUUUUAAUUUUGGUAUUUAAACUAUUUGCGACUGGGCACAGUGGCUUAUGCCCGUAAUCCCAGCACAUUGGGAGGCUGAGGCAGGAUGGUCACUUAAGGCCAGGAGUUUGAGACUGGCCUGGGCAACAUAGUGAGAUCCUAUCUUUUCAAAAAAUUGUAAAAAUUAUCCAAGUAUUGUGGUAAGUGCCUGUAGUCCCAGCUACUUGGGAUGUUGAGGUGGGAAGGUCGCUUGAGCCUAAGAAGUCGAGGCUGCAGUGAGCUGUGGUUGUGCUACUAUACUCCAGACGACAGAGCAAAAUGCUGUUUCACAAAAAAUAAGAAAAAAUUUCUAAAACAGAAAUUAUUUACAUUUAAUGUGACCUGAACAUUUCUGGCAUUACAUUAUAUUAUUAUGUUUCAACUCCAGGUCUUAAUUAUAUUAAUGAAGACCAAUUCUGAUUUUUUUCUUGCCCAAAUUACUAUCUGAGGGGUCUGGGGAGUCAUGCCCUACAAAUCAUAAAUUCUCAUCAGAUGGGUUUAUUUAAUCCUAUACAUUGUGACUUACUUUCCAAUCUGGCUCUGGCAUAACAUGAGACAAGGAAGAAAAGGCAAAAUACUUUAUCCCAAAACACGUUUCUUGACAUAUUUUGAAAUGGCCCUGCAAAGCUGUUCUUUGUAGGGAAAAUUUUGCAUCUGUAAAGAAUGUCUAUUAACAUAGCUACAUCUUUUUCUUUCAGACCCUCCCAAUCCUAAAGAGAUUAACUAAAAUCUGAAUAGGAAACAUUUGUUGUCUAUAGUCUCUAAGGGCAGCCACUAAAAGACGUCAAAGGAACUUUGGUCUCCACAAUCUUUAUCUUAACCAGAACAUCCCUAUAUCCCUAUAGUCUGGAACCAACAACCCGCUGCCCCCAAAAGCAUUUGUAAAAUGUAUAAAACAAAGCUGCUCCCUGACCACCUUGGGUACAUGUUUUCAGGACCUUCUGAGGGCUGUGUCACAGGCCGUGGUCACUCAUAUUUGGCUCAGAAUAAAUCUUUUCAAAUAUUUUACAGAGUUUGGCUCUUCUCAUUGACAUGUAUUUAUUUAUUUUAGAGAGAGGUUCUCUCUCCGUCACCCAGGUUGGAGUACAGUGGCACAAUCAUAGCUCACUAUAGCCUCAAACUCCUGGGCUUAAGCAAUCCUCUAGCCUCAGCCUCCUGAAUAGCUGGGAUUACAGGUGUGAGCCACUGCACCCAGAUAGACCUUCAAACCUUCUAUUUUCUCUGGCUUCUACUGACACUCAUCCAGCAGGGGAAGGUAGUGGCCUUGUUACUGACAAGGGAAUGAAGAAGUCCCAGUUCCCCAUGUGGCCUUCUCUGAUACCCCAAAGGCCCCUCUUUUCAGCUGGAUGAGGUAGGAAUUCACCUCCCCACUAGGACUUCACGGAUCUCUUCCUGGAUGGGAGUGGUAGGUAUGUCUAGUCACUGUUCCCCCCUUAAUCUCCACUAACACCACACUGAGUGGAAGGUGGCCCCAUGAAUGCUGGUCCGUGGUGAAUGUCCUGGCUUUCUACUAGUUCUUCCCUGACAACAACCCAGCAGGAAGGGGGAAGGUGCUUCAAUGUCAUGGAUUAGGGGUGGAAGGCCAUGCUCUUCACUGAUGCUGAAUAGGCCAGGGGAUGGGGGUGCUCACUAUCUAUCAUUGAGAUUAAAGUCCUGGCUCCCCACGCCAUUCAACCGUUGCUCCCAUGGGGAGGGGUGUGUUCAUUUUAAUUUUUUUCAUUUUCUGUGGUGUUUGGCUGGAGUAGAGCACUUAUUGUCUAGCAUUUUUCUGUCUUGCUAGGUUGUCCUUUUCCCGGUAUUUUGGCUAGGGAGAGCAGUUUUGUUUUGUUUUGUUUUGUUUUGUUUUGUUUUGUUUUCCUUCACAUGUACCUACUGGCAUUUCUGAGCUGCAGGCUCCUUUAGCUCCAAGAAUAGGACACAUGAGGCAAAGAGAGAAUCCAGGGAACUGACCACCAUGUCUUUCCUUGGGUCCCAAAGGCUUCAGCUGGUCUGCAAUGCUCCACCUUUCAGUCUUAUGCUUGUUUUAUAUAGGACAUCCAGGGUUUUUGGUUGUAUUUAGCCAGAAAAAUAGAGAAAAUGUGUCUACUCCUCCAAAGCCUGUUUUUGCACAGCCCUAGAGCUAAGAAUGGCUUUUACAUUUUUUUUUUAAAAGAACAUGAGACAAAAAAAGACCACAUGUGACCUGGAAAGCCUAAAAUAUUUACUAUAUAAUCCUUCAUACAAAAAAGUUGAAGACCCGUGACUUCAGCCAUGUUAAGGCACCUGGAGUUUAUUCUAAGUGCAACUGGAAGGCAUAGGAGGGUUGUUGGCAGAGGAAUAAAGUGAUUUUGUUUGCUACUUUGAAGAGAUUACUGAAGUUAGUGAAUCCAGUUAUCUCUAAGCAAUUUCCUAGAGUCCACAAAAGGAGUCUGGGGAAGCAGGCUCUGUGCAUCUGGGCAGGGGCUUGAGAAAGGGAGUGAGUCAGCCUAAUAAGGACUCUAGCAUGUGGAGGCGUGCCUCUUUGCUGAGGUUUUAUAGUAAGUAGGUGAGAAAGCGGGGAGUCUAACCCAGGUCAGUGCAGCUCCAGAGACUCAUAUCCCUCAUUCUGCUCUAUUUCAGGGGAGGACUCAUAGGAAGACUCUGAGCCCAAGUCUCUGAGCCUUGAGAUUUUGAAGACCUAGCGGGGAGGGAGAGGAAGAUGCCUGGAGGAUUCCCAUAGGUUCCUCCCACAGGCUAGCCCUGCUGGGCUCCCCCGAGCUUCUUCCUCCAUACUGUGAACCUGCUCUUUGCUGCUUCCUAGCUCGACUUUUCAUCAUCACCAAGCCAUUUGUUUCUGUUUGUAAUUAUGCAUUUUAAUGUUCAUUAAUUAUGGAAUGCAAAUUGCUCUGAGUACAAAAUUUGUAAUGAGCUGUUUUACCACCCCACCCCCAGGUCUAGAAGGUGGGCCAGCUGUUCUGAGCAGAAGGAAAAACAACCAACUUACAAAACAGAACAAUUUGUCCUAGGGCCUGAGUGAAUCAUAUGGUAAAUAAGCCUGGGGGACUUCCUGCUGAUGCUGGAGGUGGGGCCCUGCCCCACCUGGGUCCUGGGUGACAUCAGUGUGGCAAUUUCAUUCUUUGCUACAAACUUGGGCCUGAAAGGCAGGUGGGGUAAAGGAACAGCACUAGUCUUAGAACCAGCCUUUUACUGGCUAUGACACCUUGAGCUAGUCCCUUGGCUUGUCUGAGCCUCAGUUUGUCCUUCUGGAAGACAUCACAAGGAUGCCUCCAAACCUGCUUGACUAUGAACAAUGACUUGUUCUCCUCCAAGGACUAGAUAUGGAGUCUUAUGCUGACCAGGCUGGUCUUGAACUCCUGACCUCCAGUGAUCCUCCAUCUCAGCCUCCCAAAGCCCUGGAAUUACAGGCAAGGUUAUUGAAGAUCACACAGGCUGAAGAAGGGCUGCUGAAUUCUUCAAUAUGAACCAUCCCUUUGAUAAGAAACUGAGUGGGCCUGGUUCUUCUCAUCCCAGGAGAGCUCUGGUGUGCUUCCUGGCAUAUAAGUGAGUGGGAAAGGCUCUGCCAGUCCCCAGUCCCCCACCCCUCUUGCCACUCAGCCUCAAUCUGUCAACCAGGCCAGCUAGCCCGUCUAUUAAUGCUGACAUUGAUUUGGAUCAAUCAAGAUCCCAUAAUUACUGGGAGUUUUAAUCAACUCAUGCCAAUUCAGCUGCCGCUCAAUUUGUGCUGGACUUCGGUGCUCACAAGGAGGGAAGCGGCGAGGGUGGGGUGGGGCGGGGGGAGGGCAUGCAAAAAGGAUUACAGGGAUCAAUAGUCCUUGGUAAUGAAGGACAGCAGCUGCAGGCACCACCAGGGGGCCUGAGACUUCAGAGUGGAGGAGACAGAGCCUGCCCCCAUCCCCCAGGAGAGCUCCCUGGCAGAGAAUGAAAACCACGCCCCUGCUUCACCUCUGCCUACACCUGGAUCUGGAAACCACUUAGGCACUACCAGGCAGCACCUGUUCUCUGCAGGGUCCAACCCUCAGUAUCUCUCUCCACAUUUUGCCCUCAGCCAGGCCUGGCCUCCUCUUCCUGAAGAAUCUUAUGUAUCCUUCAGAGCCAGCAAUCCCAUUACUGGGUAUACAUCCAAAAGAAAAUAAAUCGUUCUACCAAAAA
rnacentral:lncRNA from 1 species